rnacentral:lncRNA from 1 species
UCUUAUCCAGCUUAGCACAGUUGUUCUAGUGAUCUGAGCCGCGAGAAGGAAACGGCGCGGGUGACCGCCUGCUGUACGUAUACGCACAGCCCUGAGCCCAUCGCAGUGGUACCGGUUCUGACCCAGAACGGGCGCGUAUAAGCAGCAGGUGGUCGACAGCGUUCCAAGGCGAGUGUCCCAUGAUGUCAGGUGGAGGCAAUGGAAGCGCACCCAGGCAGCUCGCAGAAGCGCACCCACAUGCAUGCGGAGCAGGCCCUCGUGCGGUCCACCGCCGGUGUGUUUUCCGCACAUCGGGACUUGCGUCUCCUUCUUCAGCUCCUUGCAUGUGCUAUAGCGGAUUGGAAGGUUUGGGCGCCAGUAGCCGUCGUAAUCACAGCCACAGCAGCAGCGUCACGCUGGCGGGUAACCGAUACACCCACACCUCACCCGCACACAAGUCAUCAGCACCACCCUCUCUUUGAUUCGGCCGCUCCUUUAUAACACGUUCCGUGCCGCCCCGACCAACUCCCCACCCGGCUCCACAAUGCGCGUCUGUGCACCCCCUUGCGGCGAUUUGGUCUCGCUUCCCUCCUGCGCUGCGAGUCCUCUGUGCGUGCAACCUGAUACCCUGCGCUGCCGCUGCAAGCCUCCCUGUCGCUCAUCCCGGUGCGGUUUGUAUUCCAUCAGGUACUGUACUUAUACGACAACCAAAUCAGCGUCAUUGAGAACGUGUCUCACCUGCGCCGCUUGACGCACCUCUACCUGGCCAACAACUGCGUUCGGGAAAUCAGCGGGCUGGCGGGGCUCAGCAGCCUUCAGAAGCUCUACAUAGAGGACAACUGCGUGCAGGUAUCAGGGGAAGAUUGUCGGGUGUAAGGAAGAAACCGCUUGACGCCAGGACCGGGGGAGGGGGUGCGUGUAGGAGGGGGGAGGGUUGAGAGGAGGGUGCGGGCUAGGGGGAAUGGCAGUAUGAAGCGGGUUGGGGCCGGAGCUGGCGAGAACAUUGGUGGGCUGAUGGGCUGGGGGGCUGACAGGAUGGUCGAAAUGAUACAAAGGGCAGAAGGAGGUCAGGGGGCAGGCAGUAUGCCCUGCGCCUCCCCAUUCCGUCCCAGCGUGCCGCGCUCAUUCUCCUUCCCCAGCUCGUUCCAGCUCUUCUUCCACUUCCGCACAUUACAAGUUACCAACCCAUCCCCCGAGAGCCUCAACCCCCCCCCUUGCGCCCCCGAGCUACGGGGGGUCCACCCGUCUUUCCUAAGCCCAAACCGCUCCUUCAUCCCACCCAUCACUUCCGCCCCCUCUCCUUUCAAUUUCCACGCGCAGGUGGUUUCGGGGCUAGAGGCCUGUCCUUCCCUGGAGGAGCUCCACGUCUCUUCACAACGUCUUCCCCCCGGUACCCCCCUCACCUUUGACCCGGC